UAUAUAUAUAUAUAUAUAUAUAUAUAUAGAUUCCACCACUGCAUCGAGUGUAAUACGAUAUUUAUCCACUCGAGACAGUUAAAUUUUCAAUUUUAAAGUCCGAGCCGCCUCGGCGAGGACUUUAAAAUUGAUAAUUUAACUGUCGAGAGUGGAUAAAUAUCGUAUUACACGAGAUUUGGUGGUGGAAUCUGUUUCUCUAAUGAUUUUCUAACAUUAUGCAGGCAAACUUAUUCCUUC
rnacentral:lncRNA from 1 species